GACGGCGAACUGCUCAGGAACACGUAGCUAAUCUACCUUUGAGUCAAGGAUACCCUCGGGAAACUGAGGAUAAUACUUGAUAAGAGAUUUGGUCUGGAAUGAUAUUUCCCUGAAACUCGUGCUCAAAGAUGAGGCUGCGGCGGAUUAGGUUGUUGGCGGGGUAAUGGCCCACCAAGCCAGUGAUCCGUAAGGGCUCUUAGCGGAGGGGCCCUGAGAGGGAGUCUGAGACACUACUCCCAGCCCUACGGGGUGCAGCAGCUGGGGAUUUUUUCCAAUGCGCGAAAGCGUGAGAAAGCGAGCCAGAGUGUUAUUCUUUUUAAGAAUAUCUUUUGUCUGCUGUAAAAAGGCAGAUGAAUAGGGACUGGGCAAGACCGGUGCCAGCCGCCGCGGUAAUCCCGGCAGUCCAAGUCGCAGCCACAAUUAUUGGGUCUAAAACAUUCGUAGCUUGCUCUAUAAGUCUCUUGUGAAAUCUGGCAUCUUAAGUGUCAGGCGUGCAAGAGAUACUGUAGAGCCAGAGACUGGGGGAUGUAAAGAGUACAGCGAAGGUAGUGGUAAAAUACGUUAAUCUUUGCUGGACUAACAACAGCGAAGGCACUUUACAAUCACAGAUCUGACAGUGAGGGAUGAAAGCUAGGGGCGCAAAAUGGAUUAGAUACCCAUGUAGUCCUAGCCGUAAACACUGUACACUAAACAUCGGUAUCUCCUCGAGAGGUAUCGGUGCUGCAGGGAAGCUGAAGAGUGUACUACCUGGGAAGUAUAGCCGCAAGGCCGAAACUUAAAGGAAUUGGCGGGGGGAUACCACAACGGGUGACGCGUGCGGUUCAAUUAGAUUCUACACCGUGAACCUCACCAGGACCGACAGCAGAAUGAAGGUCAGUCUAAAGGGCUUACCUGACACGCUGAGCGGAGUUGCAUGGCCGACGUCAGCCUGUGUCGUGAGAUGACCUGUUAAAUCAGGUAACAGGCGAGACCCGUGUGUAUAGUUGCUACUUGAUGAAAGAGCACUCUAUACAGACUGCCUUGGUAACAAGGAGGAAGGUGCGGGCUACGUUAGGUGAGUACGGCCCUAAUGCCCUGGGCUACACGCGCGCGGCAAUGCUAUAUACAGUGGGACGCAACUCCGAAAGGAGAAGCUAAUCUCAGAAAGUAUAGCUUAGUUCAGAUUGAGGAUUGAAACUCAUCCUCAUGACGAUGGAAUCCGUAGUAAUCGUUCUUUAUCAGAGAACGGUGAAUAUGUCCCUGUUCCUUGCACACACCGCCCAUCAAACUAACCAAGUUUUGCUUUGGCGAGGCUCUUCGGAGACGAACCUUUGUAAGACAAGGCAAGUUAAGUUGACACAAGGUC
rnacentral:rRNA from 1 species